UAACGGCGAGUGAAGCGGCAACAGCUCAAAUUUGAAAUCUGGCCUCUUUGGGGUCCGAGUUGUAAUUUGUAGAGGAUGUUUCGGGUACCGCCCCGGUCUAAAUUUCUUGGAACAGAAUGUCAGAGAGGGUGAGAAUCCCGUCUUGGACCGGCGGUAGGGCCCAUGUGAAACUCCUUCGACGAGUCGAGUUGUUUGGGAAUGCAGCUCAAAAUGGGUGGUAUAUUUCAUCUAAAGCUAAAUAUUGGCCAGAGACCGAUAGCGCACAAGUAGAGUGAUCGAAAGAUGAAAAGAACUUUGAAAAGAGAGUUAAACAGUAUGUGAAAUUGUUGAAAGGGAAGCGCUUGCAACCAGACUUGAGCGCGGCGGUUCCCCCUUCCUUUUGGUUGGGUUACUCCGUCGUGUCCAGGCCAACAUCGGUUCUGGGGGUCGGUUAAAGGCUUGGGGAAUGUACCUACGUCUUCGGGCGUAGACUUAUAGCCCCGAGUGUCAUGCGACCUCCCGGGACCGAGGAACGCGCUUCGGCUCGGAUGUUGGCGUAAUGGUUGUAAGCGGCCCGUCUUGAAACACGGACCAAGGAGUCUAACAUCUAUGCGAGUGUUUGGGUGUCAAACCCGGAACGCGGAAUGAAAGUGAACGGAGGUAGGAAGCUUCGGCUGCACUAUCGACCGAUCCUGAUGUCUUCGGAUGGAUUUGAGUAAGAGCAUAGCUGUUGG
rnacentral:rRNA from 1 species